UACACCACUCCUGAGAAGAAUAAGCGUAAGCGAAAGAAGGUGAAGCUGGCUGUCCUGAAAUACUGUAAGGUGGAUGAGAAUGGCAAAAUAAGUCGCCUUCAUCUAGAGUGCUCUUCAGAUGAAUGUGGUACUGGAGCGUUUAUGGCCAGCCACUUUGACAGACAUUAUUGUGACAAAUGUCUCAUUGCUUCAGCAAACCAGAAGACAAUUAAUUGUGUAUGAGUUAAUAAAAGACAUGAACUAACAAAACACAUUUACUGAAUGAAUAAAUGUAUUAAUAAUUAAAUGUC
ensembl:lncRNA novel transcript